rnacentral:rRNA from 1 species
CGUAAGAAGAUUGAAGAGAUUUGACCCUAGUACGAGAGGACCGGGUUGAACAAACCACUGGUGUAGCUGUUGUUCUGCCAAGAGCAUCGCAGCGUAGCUAAGUUUGGAAAGGAUAAACGCUGAAAGCAUCUAAGCGUGAAGCCAACUCUAAGAUGAAUCUUCUCUAAGCUCUCUAGAAGACUACUAGUUUGAUAGGCUGGGUGUGUAAUGGAUGAAAGUCCUUUAGCUGACCAGUACUAAUAGAGCGUUUGGCUUAUCUUUAAUAAAGCAU